UACAGAGGUCCCAAGCGUUGUUCGGAUUCACUGGGCGUAAAGGGUGCGCAGGUGGCCAGGUAAGUCUGAUGUGAAAUCUCGAAGCUUAACUUCGAAACUGCAUUGGAUACUAUCUGGCUGGAGGGUCGGAGGGGGGACUGGAAUUCUCGGUGUAGCAGUGAAAUGCGUAGAUAUCAUGAAGAAUACCAGUCGCGAAGGCGGCCACCUGGUCCAUUACUGACGCUCAUGCUCGAAAGCGUGGGGAGCAAACAGG
rnacentral:rRNA from 1 species